rnacentral:rRNA from 1 species
CCUACGGGGGGCAGCAGUGGGGAAUAUUGGACAAUGGGGGCAACCCUGAUCCAGCCAUGCCGCGUGAGUGAUGAAGGCCUUAGGGUUGUAAAGCUCUUUCACCGGGGAAGAUAAUGACGGUACCCGGAGAAGAAGCCCCGGCUAACUUCGUGCCAGCAGCCGCGGUAAUACGAAGGGGGCUAGCGUUGUUCGGAAUUACUGGGCGUAAAGCGCACGUAGGCGGACAUUUAAGUCAGGGGUGAAAUCCCGGGGCUCAACCUCGGAACUGCCUUUGAUACUGGGUGUCUUGAGUAUGGAAGAGGUAAGUGGAAUUGCGAGUGUAGAGGUGAAAUUCGUAGAUAUUCGCAGGAACACCAGUGGCGAAGGCGGCUUACUGGUCCAUUACUGACGCUGAGGUGCGAAAGCGUGGGGAGCAAACAGGAUUAGAUACCCCUGUAGUC